CGGGUGAGUAACGCGUGGGUAACCUGCCUCAUACAGGGGGAUAACAGUUGGAAACGGCUGCUAAUACCGCAUAAGCGCACAGAGCUGCAUGGCUCAGUGUGAAAAACUCCGGUGGUAUAAGAUGGACCCGCGUUGGAUUAGCUUGUUGGUGGGGUAACGGCCCACCAAGGCGACGAUCCAUAGCCGGCCUGAGAGGGUGAACGGCCACAUUGGGACUGAGACACGGCCCAG
rnacentral:rRNA from 1 species